rnacentral:rRNA from 1 species
GGGAGGCAGCAGUGGGGAAUAUUGGACAAUGGGGGCAACCCUGAUCCAGCCAUGCCGCGUGAGUGAUGAAGGCCCUAGGGUUGUAAAGCUCUUUUGUGCGGGAAGAUAAUGACGGUACCGCAAGAAUAAGCCCCGGCUAACUUCGUGCCAGCAGCCGCGGUAAUACGAAGGGGGCUAGCGUUGCUCGGAAUCACUGGGCGUAAAGGGUGCGUAGGCGGGUCUUUAAGUCAGGGGUGAAAUCCUGGAGCUCAACUCCAGAACUGCCUUUGAUACUGAAGAUCUUGAGUUCGGGAGAGGUGAGUGGAACUGCGAGUGUAGAGGUGAAAUUCGUAGAUAUUCGCAAGAACACCAAUGGCGAAGGCGGCUCACUGGCCCGAUACUGACGCUGAGGCACGAAAGCUUGGGGAGCAAACAGGAUUAGAUACCCUGGUAGUCCCCGCCGUAUACGAUGAAUGCCUGCCGUUAGUGGGUUUACUCACUAAUGGCGCACCUAACGCUUUAAGCAUUCCGCCUGGGGAGAACGGUCGCAAGAUUAAAACUUC